CCUACGGGAGGCAGCAGUGGGGAAUAUUGGACAAUGGGGGGAACCCUGAUCCAGCCAUGCCGCGUGUGUGAAGAAGGCCCUCGGGUUGUAAAGCACUUUCAGUGAGGAAGAACGCCUGGUGGUUAAUACCCAUCAGGAAAGACAUCACUCACAGAAGAAGCACCGGCUAACUCCGUGCCAGCAGCCGCGGUAAUACGGAGGGUGCGAGCGUUAAUCGGAAUUACUGGGCGUAAAGCGCGCGUAGGUGGCUUGAUAAGCCGGUUGUGAAAGCCCCGGGCUCAACCUGGGAACGGCAUCCGGAACUGUCAAGCUAGAGUGCAGGAGAGGAAGGUAGAAUUCCCGGUGUAGCGGUGAAAUGCGUAGAGAUCGGGAGGAAUACCAGUGGCGAAGGCGGCCUUCUGGACUGACACUGACACUGAGGUGCGAAAGCGUGGGUAGCAAACAGGAUUAGAUACCUAGUAGUC
rnacentral:rRNA from 1 species